rnacentral:rRNA from 1 species
UUUCAGAGUCCGAGUUGUAAUUUGCAGAGGGCGCUUUGGCUUUGGCAGCGGUCCAAGUUCCUUGGAACAGGACGUCACAGAGGGUGAGAAUCCCGUACGUGGUCGCUAGCUAUUGCCGUGUAAAGCCCCUUCGACGAGUCGAGUUGUUUGGGAAUGCAGCUCUAAAUGGGAGGUAAAUUUCUUCUAAAGCUAAAUAUUGGCCAGAGACCGAUAGCGCACAAGUAGAGUGAUCGAAAGAUGAAAAGCACUUUGGAAAGAGAGUCAAACAGCACGUGAAAUUGUUGAAAGGGAAGCGCUUGCAGCCAGACUUGCUUGCAGUUGCUCAUCCGGGCUUUUGCCCGGUGCACUCUUUUGCAGGCAGGCCAGCAUCAGUUUGGGCGGUGGGAUAAAGGUCUCUGUCAUGUACCUCUCUUCGGGGAGGCCUUAUAGGGGAGGCGACAUACCACCAGCCUAGACUGAGGUCCGCGCAUCUGCUAGGAUGC